rnacentral:sRNA from 1 species
GGGAAUAAUAGCAAAAUUUUCUAAAAUGGCUACCGGUAUUCAAAUGGUACCGGAAGUAAAAAAGAAUAAACUAAAUAAUAGUUCCAAGUGGUUUACAUGAGGACAAAAAAUUAGACCGUAGUUUUGAACUAU